GACGAACGCUGGCGGCGUGCUUAACACAUGCAAGUCGAACGGAAAGGCCCUGCUUUUGUGGGGUGCUCGAGUGGCGAACGGAUGAGUAACACGUGAGUAACCUGCCCUUGACUUUGGGAUAACUUCAGGAAACUGGGGCUAAUACCGGAUAGGAGCUCCUGCUGCAUUGUGGGGGUUGGAAAGUGUCGGCGGUUGGGGAUGGACUCGCGGCUUAUCAGCUUGUUGGUGGGGUAGUGGCUGACCAAGGCUUUGACGGGUAGCCGGCCUGAGAGGGUGACCGGCCACAUUGGGACUGAGAUACGGCCCAGACUCCUACGGGAGGCAGCAGUGGGGAAUAUUGCACAAUGGGCGGAAGCCUGAUGCAGCAACGCCGCGUGCGGGAUGACGGCCUUCGGGUUGUAAACCGCUUUCGCCUGUGACGAAGCGUGAGUGACGGUAAUGGGUAAAGAAGCACCGGCUAACUACGUG
rnacentral:rRNA from 1 species